GUGGGGAAUAUUGGACAAUGGGCGAAAGCCUGAUCCAGCCAUGCCGCGUGAGUGAUGAAGGCCUUAGGGUUGUAAAGCUCUUUCAGUGGGGACGAUAAUGACGGUACCCACAGAAGAAGCCCCGGCUAACUUCGUGCCAGCAGCCGCGGUAAUACGAAGGGGGCUAGCGUUGUUCGGAUUUACUGGGCGUAAAGCGCACGUAGGCGGAUCGUUAAGUCGGGGGUGAAAUCCUGGAGCUCACCUCCAGAACUGCCUUCGAUACUGGCGAUCUUGAGUCCGGAAGAGGUGAGUGGAACUCCUAGUGUAGAGGUGGAAUUCGUAGAUAUUAGGAAGAACACCAGUGGCGAAGGCGGCUCACUGGUCCGGUACUGACGCUGAGGUGCGAAAGCGUGGGGAGCAAACAGGAUUAGAUACCCGGGUAGUCC
rnacentral:rRNA from 1 species